rnacentral:tRNA from 1 species
GGAAGGGUGCUCCGAAUUGGCAAGGAACCGGUCUUGAAAACCGGCGGGCCUUUUAGGCUCUUGUGGGUUCGAGUCCCACCCCUUCCGCCA